rnacentral:rRNA from 1 species
GAUGAACGCUGGCGGCGUGCCUAAUACAUGCAAGUCGAGCGAACAGACGAGGAGCUUGCUCCUCUGACGUUAGCGGCGGACGGGUGAGUAACACGUGGAUAACCUACCUAUAAGACUGGGAUAACUUCGGGAAACCGGAGCUAAUACCGGAUAAUAUAUUGAACCGCAUGGUUCAAUAGUGAAAGACGGUUUUGCUGUCACUUAUAGAUGGAUCCGCGCCGCAUUAGCUAGUUGGUAAGGUAACGGCUUACCAAGGCGACGAUGCGUAGCCGACCUGAGAGGGGGAUCGGCCACACUGGAACUGAGACACGGGCCAGACUCCUACGGGAGGCAGAAGUAGGGAAUCUUCCGCAAGGGGCGAAAGCCUGACGGAGCAACGCCGCGUGAGUGAUGAAGGUCUUCGGAUCGUAAAACUCUGUUAUUAGGGAAGAAAAAAUGUGUAAGUAACUAUGCACGUCUUGAGGGUACCUAAUCAGAAAGCCAGGGCUAACUACGGG